rnacentral:rRNA from 1 species
CCCUGCCAUUUGUACACACCGCCCGUCGCUACUACCGAUACCGGGUGUUAAGGUGAAUUAUUUGGACCAGUAAUGGAAAGAUUCGUUAACACUAACACCUAGAGGAAGUAAAAGUCGUAACAAGGUUUCCGUAG